UUGUAGCUGACCUGGAAUUGUG
rnacentral:siRNA from 1 species